rnacentral:rRNA from 1 species
GACGAACGCUGGCGGCGUGCUUAACACAUGCAAGUCGAACGCUGAAGCUUGGUGCUUGCACUGGGUGGAUGAGUGGCGAACGGGUGAGUAAUACGUGAGUAACCUGCCCUUGACUCUGGGAUAAGCCUGGGAAACUGGGUCUAAUACUGGAUACGACAUGUCACCGCAUGGUGGUGUGUGGAAAGGGUUGUACUGGUUUUGGAUGGGCUCACGGCCUAUCAGCUUGUUGGUGGGGUAAUGGCUCACCAAGGCGACGACGGGUAGCCGGCCUGAGAGGGUGACCGGCCACACUGGGACUGAGAGACGGCCCGGACUCCUACGGGAGGCAGCAGUGGGGAAUAUUGCACAAUGGGCGGAAGCCUGAUGCAGCGACGCCGCGUGAGGGAUGACGGCCUUCGGGUUGUAAACCUCUUUCAGCACGGAAGAAGCGAAAGUGACGGUACGUGCAGAAGAAGCGCCGGCUAACUACGUG